CCUACGGGUGGCAGCAGUGAGGAAUAUUGGUCAAUGGGCGCGAGCCUGAACCAGCCAAGUAGCGUGAAGGAUGACUGCCCUACGGGUUGUAAACUUCUUUUAUAAAGGAAUAAAGUGAGGCACGUGUGCCUUUUUGUAUGUACUUUAUGAAUAAGGAUCGGCUAACUCCGUGCCAGCAGCCGCGGUAAUACGGAGGAUCCGAGCGUUAUCCGGAUUUAUUGGGUUUAAAGGGAGCGUAGAUGGGUUGUUAAGUAAGUUGUGAAAGUUUGCGGCGCAACCGUAAAAUUGCAAUUGAUACUGGCAGUCUUGAGUACAGGUGAGGUAGGCGGAAUUCGUGGUGUAGCGGUGAAAUGCGUAGAUAUUAGGAGGAACACCAGUGGCGAAGGCGGCUUACUGGACUGUAACUGACGUUGAGGCUCGAAAGCGUGGGGAGCAAACAGGACUAGAUACCCUAGUAGUC
rnacentral:rRNA from 1 species